CAUGAGUAAAGCUCAUGCAUAAGAAAUACUAAUUGCUAAAGAAAAAGUAUUUCUUUAUCGAUGUCCUACCCCAACUUGCAUUGUCUGUAGAAAUUGGGGUUCCAAUUUCUCUAUGUUGGGGCCCCGCCAACUUGCACAUUUUUGUAAGCUGACUUUUCGCCAGCUUCUAUAUUGGGGCCCCCGCCAACUUGCAUUGUUUGUUGGAAUUGGUGAUCCUAUUUCUCUCUGUUGUGGCCCCACGAGUAUUGAAAAAACUUGUUAUAAGCUUAUUUUCAUUUAGUCAACUACUACCAAUAUAGCACUAGAACUGGAAAUGAUAAUUUAAUAUUGUACACUUUUGAUUGUUUAAACAUGUAGAUAUUUUAAAAAAUAGGAGAGCAAAGUAAAUAAUUGAUAUAGUUAUUUUGAGAGUAAUCCUAGGAACUAUUGUAUUUAUAUUUGUCUCCCCUACUUU
rnacentral:snRNA from 1 species